ensembl:lncRNA
UUGUAAUGCUUUUUUUAUUAAUAUUUGAAAAAACUGUGGCAUUCUCAUAUUAAAGAGACCCAGGGUCCACCCUUCUCUUGGCUCAUUUAAGGGCUAGCCUUCAAUGGGAGAACGUCUUCUGGGCAAUGGCUACUUUCUGAGAAGAAGUGUUUUGUAGUCAGAAACUGAAUCACUGCUUAGAUUUGAAAUAAUUUCUUCCUUUGAAAUGGAAUCAGUGUCAUAUGAGGAAAACCCUUCCUGACAUUUCUUUGAAACGGAAAAGGGAGGGGAGGAGAGGAGAGCCAAUUUACUAAAAUGAAAAUUGUUUUAGUGUUCUCAGGUUCUGAUGUGUUCUGAUACGGGUUGAUAAAUCAUAAUAAUUCUAGGAACCCACCACAAAGAGUGGAAAAGGCCCAAGUCUUUCUGACCACAGCUGAAAAAAUGUACUUGUGCAAUUAAAACAUACUUUACGAAAAGAAAAUUACAAACAGUGCAGAACAUGGCAACAAAUCAUGACAAUGUGACAAUGUAUAUAAAACAAAAAUAUUGACUGUGUAUAUAUAGAAUGAAAUUAAAAACUCUUAUCAAAUGUGAAACAUAUAAAAAGUAAAAUUCAAUAAUCUCUAUCAGGAAUUUUUCUACCAGUUAUUAUUUUAUUGAAGUUCAGCAGUGAAUUUUUAAGUAGAAUUCAGAUAGGAACCCGUAGAUGGGAACAUGUGCCUCAUCAUAAUCCAAGUAAGGUCCAAGGGAGCAUCUGGCUGGAGAGCGGAUUUGCAGCAGAGGACAAGGAGUGCUGGUGAACAAUGAGGUGAGAAACAACCAUAAAGGUACCCUUGUAUUAAGAAAGGCCAGCAGACUCUUCAGCUUCAUGAGGGGGAGUCUUGCCUGCAGAUGAAGGGAAAUAAUUGUUUUCUCUGUUCAGCACUUGGUGGGACACACCUGGAGUCCUGGAUCCAGUUCUCAGCUCUCCAGUGUGAGAAAGGCAUGACCAUGUUGGACCGAGUGAAGGGCCACAAACAUGAUGAAAGAACUGGAGAAUCCAUCAAGGCUGAGAGAGCUGGCACUGUUCAUCCUAGGGGAGAAAAGAAUUUUUUUUUUCUCCUUCCUAAUGAGAGAGUGAUCUGAGACAAGCUUUGAGAUGUUUCAGAGUCUCUAACCUCAGAAAUAUUUGAAAUCCAACUAGAUAUGGUCCUGAUAAAACUUGGAGUCAGGCUUGUACUACAUGAUAUCCAGAGGUUCCUUUCUCUCUCAGCUAUUCUGUGAUUGUGUGGUACAACACUGUCCCAAAAGUGUCAGUUUUAAACAAGACCCUGACACUUGGAAGGACUUGUACAGGCUGCAUGAGACUUUGAUGCCAGUUGGAAAAUUUUACAGCCUAAACUGUACUCCAUCUUGGUUUUAAAAAUAAUCUUUUUUCUUAAAAAAAUCUCAGGAGAUUUUUAGAAUACAGUACAAGAAGUUCAUACAUGCUGAGAAGGGAUUGGCAAAAUUAUUUGCGAAUUUCAGUGAAACAAUGCAUCAGGUAGUACUGUGUGAUGCUGCUUCUGCUACUAUGUUUGAUGCUGAGAAUUGUUCAGUACAUGUUAAUAGACCUUUGUGAUCACAUUCUGUUUUCUUUGUUGAAACUGAGGGUCUUUCUUCAUUCCUUAGGGUGUUCUCUCUUUGUUCCCUGGUCUUACUAAUCUUUACCAAAAUUUCACAGUGCAGAAAGGCACUUACUACUCAUUUAUAUGGCAUAAGCAUUCCUUUAAAAAUAAAUAUAUAUAAUUUAUUUAUACAUAAAGCACAAUAUCCCACAUUCACACAAACACACAGAGAGCAUAGUCUUUUUUUUAAUACAUAUUUGAAAGCUUAAACUAGUGUCUGAACAGCUGAGUAACUUUAAUGCUGCAUGCAAAUCAGCUUAAAAAGUAACAAACCUCCGAAAAAUGUAAUAAAAGCCGAUAGUGGCUCAAAUUCUAGAUCUGAUAUGAACUCUCACUGUUCAGAAAACUGCAUUAAUUGUCUUUUAUUUUUAGAAAAUUCACUACAAUAACUUAAAAAGGAGAUGCAUUCUUUAUCAUUGUGGCAUAUCCAGGAAUUUCAUUUUUAUCCUAUAACUAUUCUUUUGGGAACAUGCAGUGAACCAACAAGGCAAAGUUCAUUUCACAAACUUGACAAAGUAGGACAGUGACCUACAAAUGACAAAUUCUAAAAAAAAGAGGCAUGGUUCCAGUUUUCUAUUUACUUGUCUACUUGUUUUUAUAAUUCUGAGAAAAAUAUAAGUUUGAUGUGAGUGCUGGCCAGCAAAAAUAAAACUGGGUGUGCAAGUGAUAUAUUUUAAUGUUCAAAGCUUAUUUCACUUAUUUGCAAGGAAUAUGGAAUUUCUACUUGUUUGAAAAUAAAACAUGAGGCAUUCAACUUUACUUAUGCUGCAGUUUAGAAAUGUACAGGAAAAAAUGCUCAUUUUAGUGUUAAAAAUGUUUGAAUUUCUCUGCACUAAUUCCAGUAUAAUUUGAAUAUGGAUUAAAAUUCUGACAAAUAAAAGAACUGAAACCAAUCUUUACUUAAUAGUAAAGAUUUUAUUGGUGUCCAAAACAAUUAGCUAUCCUUGAAUAACUUGGUAUUUUUCUCUAAAAAAUCUGGAGACUAGAAAAUGUUAAUUUUCCAUUUAUUAGGUACAAGCAAGUCAUCUUUGCCUACUGCUUUCCCCUAAGCUUUUGUAAAGUAGUAUGAAGAAUGAGAACGAGAAAUCAAGAUACUCCAAUCGAAAAGCUCACCAUCUGAACAUAUAUCCAAGAAUGUAAAUUGCACACUGAGCUUUUUUUGUCUUGUCUAAUCAGCCAGAUGACUAAAACUUACAAAUACGAAAUUACUAUGAAUAGCAAAUUUUUAUGGCUGUUCUCCUAACUAACCUAUAAAAACAUAGCACAUUAUCAUGAUAAAUGAUCUUCAGGCGUUUGGAAUAUGAUGAGCACUUGUUUAAAAAAAUGUGUGUUUUAAAGUUUGAAGCAAAAUGGAAAGAAAUAUUUUUAUCAAUAUAAUUAUAUUUCUGCAAGGAUAAAUUCAGUGGGUUUAGAGAAACAUAGGUUCCUUUAAACAGUAGGUAUAUAAGCAACAGCCAUUUUCCAUCUACUUUAUCUUGUCACAAGGAUCAGCUACAACUUUUUAAACUUCCCAAAAUCUCAGACAUUAUCUAGUGAUUCAGCCAAAACAAAGUGACAGAGUAGAACUGCAAUAUUAGUAGGAUCUUAAUUACUAAAAAUGAAAUAAUUAAUUAAAAAGUAGGUUGAUUAUUAUCAGUGAGUCUUGUUAUGUGUUAUGCAGUGAAACCAGAUUGUUAAAUAUUAUUUACUGUGCAGGUUCUGAAUUUUAUACCACAAUGCCUCAUUACUUGAGUUGCAAAUUUGCAAAAUGGCACUACUUUUUCUAUCAGUCACAUUCUGAAUCAUAACAUUUCUGUGUUUUAACAUAAAUACAGCUUUAUCAUAAUCCACUUAAGGUGGAUUUAGCAGAAAAAAAUGUCAUUUAUUUUCAACAGAUGAGUUAAAAGUGUUUUCAAGAAUUGUACCUUCAGCUGAUCAUGCUUUUCACUGUUUUAUGUAUUUAUAAUCACUUCUGUUUAAACCUCAGUGUGUCUAAAUCAUUUUGAUUACGUAAUACCUUCCAUUUCUCUGUAAAAAUGGUAAUCUGACUUUCACAGCUGCCAAAAACAGGUACAGGUUCUAACUCCAUCAAUCUUAUUCUCAAACAGAUAGGCUUUAUACUGGCCUUGUCUUCACUGAUAUUAGCAAAUCACAUCUGCAGGGUCACAUAUCGCAUACAUUUAGUAAAUUAUCCUAACUUAAUACUACUGAUCUCUCAGUUAAGGAUUUUUUGUUGGAGUUCAGGUCCCACACUGAGAGCUGUCAUUGAAUCACAUUUUCUGUGGUGUACAGUUGUAUAAUAUGCACACAAAAUCAGGCAAGCAGAAACAGCAGUGGGCUUUUUAAGUAAAAUUCAAGACAAUGACAGAAACAUCAUUGAAUUUGCAUGACUUGCACUGUAGUUUAGUGUUAGCAUAAUUUUUUAAAGUCUUGUUUUAAUGGAAUUUUCAUUUAACUGUACUGCUAUAUUAUAUACUGCAGCAGCUGGCUUUUAUUUACUUUACUUCUCUGAUUGGUGAAGUAGGACAUGUCCUGAGCCCACUCCAUCCAAGAUCAAAUGUUUCAGUAAAUUAGAAGUCUAGUUAACCCACAGAUUCUGUCUUACCCACCUUCCUUAUUAAACAAUGAAAAGAUGUUACAUUUUUUGACAGUGAUUCAAGUCUCUGGAGGUAUUACCCUAUUACCUUAAAGGAGACUGGUAAGGAUCAGCCCUUAUUAAUUUAGCUGCAGGAAAGGUGUCUCUUUGAAAAUGAGCCACUUGUAAAGAACUAAUCUAUACUUAUGUAACAUAUAAUAGCAACUGUAUAAUUAGUCAGAAAUAGAAACCUGACAUAGUUCUGCAAAAAAUUUUGGAUCAGAAAAGAAUAAUAUUUUCACAAGAAUCUCCUUAAUGUCAAUGUAUUCCAUUCCACUGUAAUUAUAAAUUUGCAAUGGUAUUGCCUAAGUGAUUUAAUAAGUGACAGGGAAACCCAUCUCACUUUGAAUGUUGAAAAAUAGACACUUGAAGUUUAAGUUAUCCACUCUUUCUAAACUGUGGAAAGAUAUUUAGAGAUGAGAGGGUAUCUCACUUGUCUUAAACAUCUGUCAUUGUGUGAUAACUACAUAUUGGAAAUAGAAGUUUCUCUCAGGAAAGGAAGAACCUGAUAAGAAGAUCAUUGGACCACUGCUUUGAAUGCAGAUAACUGACUUUUAGAUAACUACGUGAAGUGAGAUGCAUGCAACAUCUGUUUGUACCCUAAGAGCUCGUAAUCUUAGAGGCAAUUUAAAAGCUCAUAGCUUCUGUUCAACCUUGGACAUGUGCUGAGUGAUAUUUUUCAAAUUCUAGAUUUCAGUUCUAGACAUAUUUAAAUAUUUGCUUUUUCUGUUUUUGACACACAUUGCAGGAGUAAUGAUAUUUGUCAUUAUGUGGAUUUUCUAUCUUGCUAAAAUUUGAUGCAUUAGUAACAGUGGUGAUUUUUUUGUAUGUGGGGAGGGAGUUUUUUUGUUUUUGUUUUUCCCCACUAGGGCAAUAUGCAUGUAGAUAUAAAAUAGAGUAUUAUAAUGGAUAAUCAGUAAUCAGUACUGUCUUCAAAAAUGUCCUAGACUGCCUAGACUGUUCAGAUUUUUACCUAAGGGUUGCACAGGAGAAUAAGACUAUUCGUGAAGAAGUACCAGAAGGACUUUCUUUAGAGGAUUUAGUUGUUUCUAUUUCAAAUUCUUUUUCAUCAAGCCAUCAUGAAAAAUUGAACAGAAUUCUUUGGGUUUAUAAUCUGUUUCAUCACUUGCCACUUCAAAACUUUAUUUUACAAAAUAAUAUGGUGACUCAUUUAUUAAGACUAUGUCUCCUACCUUUUGCUUUGGACCAGAGUCUAGCUGAUAAUUUACUACUGAGGUGUAUUUUGCUUGUAUGUAUUUCUAAAAGGCUGUCACAUUUUUGUACAUGAAUCCCAUCCACAAAUAAGGAUUGUUGAGAGAAUCUGUUGCUGUGGAGAAGAAGCAGCAGCCCUUGGCUGUGAUGAAGUUUGAAGAUAUCUAUGACUUGAAGAGUUUGGAUAUCAUGAAGAGAGAGUGGAAAUGUGAUUAUGAGGAAAUAAAAAGUACAAUUUAUGUGUGGUUGAUAGUACUAUAUGGGAAUGUCAGUUCCCAAGCAGAAAAAAUUUCUGACUCAAUUAAUGUGUGGUUUUUUUUUACUGCUUUUUUUUUUUUAAUAAAAAAAAUAAAAAGUAUUGAAUCAGAUUUAC